UGGUACAAUUAAUUAAACUUAGCCCCUUUUCUAAUUAAGAAUUUGAGAAAACAAAUUGGGGAAAUUUGUGAGUGUUUCAUCUUCUCUAGUUCGGUUCUUCCUUGAUAGAGAAGGGAGGCGCUCUCUUCUUCCUUCUUUUCUGGGGAGGGUUUCAUUCCCGGCGUCUCAACAAUGUGAGGAGCUCGUUUCAUUGAUGUUCUUAUGGUGAUGGAGAUCGCGGAGGCUCCCUUUCGAAGCAAACCGCGAUAGCAGCGGAAUGAGUUGUGAUUUUCGUUUCGCGUUUCAGAUUAGGGUUUUGUUUUGGGAAAUUUCGGGUUUCGUUUCUUGUGUUCUUGAUUUUUUUUUGCAGAUUUGGUUUCGCAAUUUAGGGUUAGCGUUCCUGCGUUUGGGUUUUCAUGUGAUAUUGUGAUUUGGGAUAUUUGUUUUCGAUUUGAAAUUUUGAUUGUAAAUCUGAUUUUUGCAAUGAGAUUUUGGAUGUUUCUUAUUUGUUCCGUGAUUAAACAA
rnacentral:sRNA from 1 species